rnacentral:ncRNA from 1 species
UUAAAGUUUGAUUUAUUCUUUAUUUCUUGCAUUUAGUAUUGAAGUUGUAUGAGAGUUAGGAUGAGUAGUUAAUAAUAAUUUAAGAUUUAUCAUGGAAUUAGUCAGUAAUUGUACUGUGAGUGAUAAUUCUCAGCAUAUAAUAUUAGACAAUUUAGUAAAUUAAGAUCUAGCAAUACAUUAAAACUUGAUUAAUAUUGUGCCAGCAGUCGCGGUUAUACUUUAAAGUUAAGCAAGAAAUGUUGGUUUACUGUUGGACGAUAAGUUUGAUUAAUAAAAGUCUGGGGGAAUAAAAGAGUGAAAUCGGAUUUUCUUUUUAUGGAACUAUGAUUAAUAAUUAAUUUAAGUUGAGGCAGUAAAAUAUUGGAGAUAAACUAGGAUUAGAUACCCUAUUAUACCAAAAAAUAAUUUAGCCAAACCAAAGUAAUAAUAGAUAUAUUCUAAAAAUUUGAAGAAUUUGGCGGUGAUUUAGUCUAGUCAGAGGAACCUGUUUUUGAAUCGAUAAACCACGAAUAAUCUUACUUAAGUUUGUAAAGUAUGUAUACCAUCAUUAUUAGGUAAUUUUUAUAGAAGUAAUUACUGGAUAAUUUAUUAAUAAUGUUAAAUAUAUUAGAUCAAGGUGCAGCUUAUACUUAAGUUAAAAUGGGUUACAAUAAAUUUUAUUUAUACGGAAUCAUAAUUUAAAUAUUAUUUGGAAGGAGGAUUUGAUUGUAAAGUUAGUUUAACAUGCUUACUAGAUAUAAGCUCUAAAUCAUGUACAUAUCGCCCGUCGCUUUCAUUUUUAAAUGAGAUAAGUCGUAACAUAGUAGGUUUACUGGAAAGUGAAUCUGGAUAGAA